CAAAGAUUCUGUAAUAUCGCAUCAAGUGGUCCUUAGCCUUUAUUUGAAACGUGUCCAGUGACAGGGAUCUCAGUUCAGGGAUUCCUGAUAGGAUGCUGGUUUGGGUGGCUCCCUCUGCCCUAGAGACCAGUUUUGAGAGGCCAUCUUUUCCCUUCGCAGCCCCGUGGGGAAUGCACGGUGGCAGUGUGUACCUCCUUCUCUGCUUGGCCCCCUGGGCAUACCAGAACCUGGGAAGGGGCCUCUGUGGCUAAGUCAGGGUUGCCCAGUUGGUUACUUGUAAUUUCCCGGGUUUUCUUGGCUGUUGCUUUGAAGUGGAGAUCAUUUGGGCAUCUGGUCCCCAGGGAAUCUGGAAGGAAAAGGGAAGCCCUUGAAAAGAAGAGGACCUUACAGCCUAGUGAACCACCAGGGAGUGAAUGCAUCAGGGGAGCUCUCUGUGGUGAAAAGGGUUUGUAAAACGAAGAUUUAUCCCUCAACUUUACAUGCUGACUUCGUGUAAAACAAGAUUCAGCUGCAAGGUAAAUGUCUGGGUUGAGUCUGGAGGAUGGAUGGUGGAGGACAGCUUGUGUUUUUCUUGAGGAACUUUGAGUUUGGGGAAGUGAAGAGACACCGAUGAGGGCAGGCAGUGGAGA
rnacentral:lncRNA from 1 species